ensembl:lncRNA
GAGACCAGAGAGCCUCCUCCCCGAGGAGGCGUCUCAGCCCGCCCGUGGCCUCUUACCCUUCCCACCCCCAGGAAACAGGAACCCUUUCGAAGGAUUAGCCCCCACCACCCAGCCCCCAACCUCAGCUAACGGGGGCGGGAAGAGUCCCCAGGAGAGAGAAUAAGGAGGGAAUGUGACAAGAACCUGGGCGGUCGAACUUACCCGGUGCUGCAGAACCGGUACAGGGGUAGGAAAGGUUUGGGGUAAAAGAGAAGUUCGAUCACAGGUGAAAACAACAAAGUAAGAAAUUCCACUGCCGUCACGCUCCGCGAACUUAGGAUACAAACCUGAAAUAUGAAGCUCCCGCGGGAUAAAUUUGUCCAAUCACCGAGGAGGGCGGGGUAGCAAGGACUCUGAUCAUAGGGGGAGAUGAUAAAGGGGCGGGGCGAAGAAAGCGGAGGUACGAGGAGGAAUGGGCGGAGCGUGUGGAAGUGUCGGGAGAAGUAGAUAUGUCAUGGUGGAUGCAUACUUAUUCCUCUUCAGGAAAGCCUCUUCUCAUGUUGCCUGAAGAUCUCUUCUUCAUUCUUCCUGUAUAGAUUCCAAUGGGUUUGUGGAUGCAAUUCCCUAUAUGUUGUAACAGUUAAAAUUAGUUUCUCUCUGCCAAGGAGUAUUAUAUUUUAUGAGGUUUAUUAAAGGUCAAGGAUUAAAGAAAAUACAGAAUAAGAAAAUACGUGUCUAGGUCCAGAAAUGCCCAUUCAAUUUCACUUACAUCAUGAAAGAUGCGUCUGCUGGGAAGUGGAAGUAGGAAAAAGACCCUCAGUAGGCGGGGAAUUCCUUUAAAUAAUAAUUUGUGAUCUCGCCCAGGUGAGAAUUCAGUGUGAUUACAAAGCAUUCUGGGAAGUGAGCAAGGACUUCUGGGGACUGGAGUCCUGGGUUCAAGUCUCCGUUUUUUACAUUUCUCCGUGUGAUCAUUUUGGGAAAGAUUUUCCCCAAGAGGAUCAUGAAAACAUAAUCAACUUAAAGAUUACAAUAAUUUGAGGAUAAGAGAGAAAAAAAACAAUAAUUGCUGGACACAUUGACAAAAAGUCAGUUAGGGGGCAGUCCCCUUUGGCAUAAGAGUGUACAUUGAGACAGUCUCUUGAUACAAUCUCUUGAGACAGUCUCUUGAAGACAGUCUGAGGGAGGCUGACUCUGGCUGGAACUCCCUUUGAGGAGACUCUGUCCCUUUGAAUCCUUGCUUGGACAGAUCUUGUGGUGAGUGAUAAAAGACUGACUGAUCCCUCUCUUCCUAGGCUGGCUCAUGCCGGCCUAGGCUGGUAUAGCCCUUUUCUCAUUAUUUCCUUUUUCUCUCUCUCUCUCUCUUUCUUAAUUCCUCAUUUGUAUUAAUUAAAAUCUCUAUAAAACCCAGUUGACUUGGGUACAUUUUAAUAAUUGGGAAUAUUUCCCUGGCUACUACCUUAUAUUUGAUUUAAAACAAGACACUGUCUUGAAAACAUAUUUUCUGCAGUCACAAUUUACUCAUCCACUAUUUUAUCUACUACAAUUUAAGUCUUCCACUAUUUUAACUCUUACAGUUUAUGACAACCAACUAUUUUA